GAUGAACGCUGGCGGCGUGCCUAAUACAUGCAAGUCGAGCGAACAGACGAGGAGCUUGCUCCUCUGACGUUAGCGGCGGACGGGUGAGUAACACGUGGAUAACCUACCUAUAAGACUGGGAUAACUUCGGGAAACCGGAGCUAAUACCGGAUAAUAUAUUGAACCGCAUGGGUCAAUAGUGAAAGACGGUUUUGCUGUCACUUAUAGAUGGAUCCGCGCCGCAUUAGCUAGUUGGUAAGGUAACGGCUUACCAAGGCGACGAUGCGUAGCCGACCUGAGAGGGUGAUCGGCCACACUGGAACUGAGACACGGUCCAGACUCCUACGGGAGGCAGCAGUAGGGAAUCUUCCGCAAUGGGCGAAAGCUUGACGGAGCAACGCCGCGUGAGUGAUGAAGGUCUUCGGAUCGUAAAACUCUGUUAUUAGGGAAGAACAAAUGUGUAAGUAACUAUGCACGUCUUGACGGUACCUAAUCAGAAAGCCACGGCUAACUACGUG
rnacentral:rRNA from 1 species